GAUGAACGCUGGCGGCGCGCCUAACACAUGCAAGUCGAACGAUUAAAGCACCUUCGGGUGUGUAUAAAGUGGCGAACGGCUGAGUAACACGUGGGCAGCCUGCCCCUCUCAUUGGGAUAGCCACGGGAAACCGUGGAUAAUACCGAAUACUUCGGGACUUCCGCAUGGAAGACUCGAGAAAGCUCCGGCGGAGAGGGAUGGGCCCGCGGCCUGUUAGCUUGUUGGUGGGGUAAUGGCCUACCAAGGCAAUGAUGGGUAGCUGGGUUGAGAGACCGACCAGCCAGAUUGGGACUGAGACACGGCCCAGACUCCUACGGGAGGCAGCAGUGGGGAAUCUUGCACAAUGGGCGAAAGCCUGAUGCAGCGACGCCGCGUGCGGGAUGAAGGCCUUCGGGUUGUAAACCGCUUUCAGCAGGGACGAGGCGAAAGUGACGGUACCUGCAGAAGAAGCCCCGGCUAACUACGUG
rnacentral:rRNA from 1 species